rnacentral:rRNA from 1 species
CCUACGGGUGGCAGCAGUGAGGAAUAUUGGUCAAUGGACGGAAGUCUGAACCAGCCAUGCCGCGUGCAGGAAGAAGGCCCUCUGAGUUGUAAACUGCGUUUUUACAAGGGUAAACCUGAACACGUGUAUUCAACUGAGAGUCAUGUACGAACAAGGCACGGCUAACUCCGUGCCAGCAGCCGCGGUAAUAAGGAGGAUUCAAGCGUUAUCCGGAUUGAUUGGGUUGAAAGGGUGCGUAGGCGGUUUGAUAAGUUAGAGGUGAAAUGUCCGGGCUUAACUUGGGAACUGCCGCUAAUACUGUUGAUCUAGAGAGUAGGUGCGGUAGGUGGAAUGUAUGGUGUAGCGGUGGAAUGCUUAGAGAUCAUACAGAACACCGAGUGCGAAGGCAGCUUACCAAUCUAUAUCUGACGUUGAGGCACGAAAGCGUGGGGAGCAAACAGGAUUAGAUACCCGAGUAGUC